CUGCAGGAGGAAGCCACACAGUUUGGGCAGGUCCUCAUGCACUUGGACACCACGCAGCAGGAGAUAGCGGGUGCUCUCAAGGCCAACACCAUGCUGCUGGCCGAGGUCCAGCAGACAAUGAAGGAAAACCUGGCUGUUGUAGAGGACAACUUUGUGGACAUAGAUGCCCGUGUCAAGCAGCUGCAGAAGUGCCAGCACCCUGGAGUCACCCUCGCAUCGGGCAUCCCUGCCGCCGCCAGGGCCCUGCGACCCUCUGGGAAUCUCUCCCUCCCCAAGCAGUUUUAUUUCAAGAGAACUGGGACCUCACUGGGCAGCUCCCAAAGGCGUCUGUCAGCACUCCACUGAGGAUGUCCCUCUUCAGGAGGACCAAGAUGAGGAUGGCGAUCUGCAGGAAGGCGAGGAACAGAAGAAAUCUCCUGCGGGACAGGAGAAAGGUUAGGCCGAGCAGGGGGUAAAUUUGUCUCCAGCUCUCGACAACCACCCUCUUU